rnacentral:rRNA from 1 species
UACGGGGGGAGCAAGCGUUGUUCGGAUUUACUGGGCGUAAAGGGCGCGUAGGCGGUCGUGACAAGUCACUUGUGAAAUCUCCGGGCUUAACUCGGAACGGUCAAGUGAUACUGUCGGACUAGAGUACAGAAGGGGCAACUGGAAUUCUCGGUGUAGCGGUGAAAUGCGUAGAUAUCGAGAGGAACACCUGCGGCGAAGGCGGGUUGCUGGGCUGAUACUGACGCUGAGACGCGAAAGCGUGGGGGAGCAAACAGG